GUAUCAACAAGUGCCCCUGGUGCAGAUCUUGGUGGUAGUAGAAAAUAUUCAAAUGAGAAUUUUGAAGAGUGAAGUGUUGAAAUGUUCCAUGUGAAUAUCACUUGGACAUGGGUUAGUCGAUCCUAAGAGAUGGGGAAUCCUUGUAUCAAGGGUGCACUCUGCAUGAACAUUGAAAGAGAAUUGGGUUAAUAUUAUUGAACUGGGACAUGGUGGUGUACGACAAUGUUAGGAAAUUUGGAGAUGUCAUCGGGGGCUUGGGAAGAGUUAUCUUUUCUUUUUAACGAAUUUCCCACACUGAAAUCGGUUAAAUCGGAGAUAGGGUCCAACAUCUGGAAGAGCACCACACGUUUUGCGGUGUUUGGUGCCCCCUCGAUGACCAUUGAAAAUAUGAAGAACCGAGUACCAUCCAUGCCCGAUCGUACUCAUAUCUUCCUCGGAUUUUUCAAUGCCCACUAGGUUAGCGAUCUUGAUGAGAGAAUGUCUACCUUGGGCUACUU
rfam:Picea glauca, whole genome shotgun sequence.